AGCUGGUUCUCCUCGAAAUAGCUUUAGGGCUAGCCUCAAUUUAGUCUUGCGGAGGUAGAGCACUGAAUAUCCUAGGGGGCGUCAAAGCUUACCGAAGAUUAUCAAACUCCGAAUGCCGUUAAGAUGAUGAUUGGGAGUCAGACUGCACGAGAUAAGUUGGGUAGUCAAAAGGGAAACAGCCCAGACCUCCAGCUAAGGUCCCAAAGUGAGUGUUAAGUGGAAAAGGAUGUGGGAUUUCGAAGACAACUAGGAUGUUGGCUUAGAAGCAGCCAUACAUUCAAAGAGUGCGUAAUAGCUCACUAGUCGAGAGGUCCUGCGCCGAAAAUGUCCGGGGCUAAACACUACACCGAAGCUGAGGAAUGAUUUAUCAUUGGUAGAGGAGCAUUGUUAGCGAGACGAAGCUGUACCGAAAGGAGCAGUGGAUUGCUAAGAAGAGAGAAUGCCGGAAUGAGUAGCGAGAGUGAGGUGAGAAUCCUCACGGCCGAAUAUCUAAGGUUUCCAGGGUAAAGCUGAUCUGCCCUGGGUUAGUCGGGGCCUAAGGCGAGGUCGAAAGACGUAGUCGAUGGAUAACAGGUUGAUAUUCCUGUACUACAAUAUAUCAGAACUGUGGGGACACAGACAGAAAGCCAGAGCCGGGAAUGGAAAGACCGGUACAAGCGAGGUAGGAGUAAGGCAGGCAAAUCCGCCUUACAAUCUGAAGACGUGAUGUGUAGCGAAGUUAUAAGUAGCGAAGCUGGUGAGCUGGCUGUCAGGAAAAGCCGCUAUUGUGUAUAUUGUACCCGUACCGUAAACCGACACAGGUGGAUGAGGAGAGAAUCCUAAGGCCGACGGAAGAAGCAUUGUUAAGGAACUCGGCAAAAUGGCCCCGUAACUUCGGGAUAAGGGGUGCCUACGAAGGUAGGCCGCAGAGAAUUGGCCCAAGCAACUGUUUAGCAAAAACACAGGUCUAUGCGAAACCGUAAGGUGAUGUAUAUGGGCUGACGCCUGCCCGGUGCUGGAAGGUUAAGAGGAGAGGUUAGCGAAUGCGAAGCUUUGAAUUUAAGCCCCAGUAAACGGCGGCCGUAACUAUAACGGUCCUAAGGUAGCGAAAUUCCUUGUCGG
rnacentral:rRNA from 1 species